GGAGAGGUGCCGGAGUGGUUUAACGGGACGGUCUCGAAAACCGUUGUGCCCCUUUCGGGUACCGAGGGUUCGAAUCCCUCCCUCUCCG
rnacentral:tRNA from 1 species